rnacentral:rRNA from 1 species
GACGAACGCUGGCGGCGUGCUUAACACAUGCAAGUCGAACGGAAAGGCCCCUUCGGGGGUACUCGAGUGGCGAACAGGUGAGUAACACGUGAGUAACCUGCCCUUGACUUCGGGAUAACUUCAGGAAACUGGGGCUAAUACCGGAUAGGAAUCCUUGCUGCAUGGAGGGGGUUGGAAAGCUUCGGCGGUUUUGGAUGGACUGGCGGCUUAUCAGCCUGUUGGUGGGGUAGUGGCUUACCAAGGCUUUGACGGGUAGCCGGCCUGAGAGGGCGACCGGCCACAUUGGGACUGAGGGACGGCCCAGUCUCCUACGGGAGGCAGCAGUGGGGAAUCUUGCACAAUGGGCGGAAGCCUGAGGCAGCAACGCCGCGUGCGGGAUGACGGCCUUCGGGUUGUAAACCGCUUUCAGCAGGGGCGAAGCUUGUGGUGACGGUACCUGCAGAAGAAGCACCGGCUAACUACGUG